ACGGGAGGCAGCAGUGGGGAAUAUUGCACAAUGGGGGAAACCCUGAUGCAGCGAUGCCGCGUGGAGGAAGAAGGUUUUCGGAUUGUAAACUCCUGUCUUAAAGGACGAUAAUGACGGUACUUUAGGAGGAGGCUCCGGCUAACUACGUGCCAGCAGCCGCGGUAAUACGUAGGGAGCGAGCGUUGUCCGGAAUUACUGGGUGUAAAGGGAGCGUAGGCGGGACGGCAAGUCAGAUGUGAAAUACAUGGGCUCAACCCAUGGGCUGCAUUUGAAACUGCUGUUCUUGAGUGAAGUAGAGGUAAGCGGAAUUCCUGGUGUAGCGGUGAAAUGCGUAGAUAUCAGGAGGAACACCGGUGGCGAAGGCGGUUUACUGGACCACAACUGACGCUGAGACACGAAAGCGUGGGGAGCAAACAGGAUUAGAUACCCUGGUA
rnacentral:rRNA from 1 species